UCUGUGUCGCUCGUUUACUU
rnacentral:miRNA from 1 species